AUUGAACGCUGGCGGAAUGCUUUACACAUGCAAGUCGAACGGCAGCACGGACUUCGGUCUGGUGGCGAGUGGCGAACGGGUGAGUAAUGUAUCGGAACGUGCCCAGUCGUGGGGGAUAACGUAGUGAAAAUUACGCUAAUACCGCAUACGAUCUAUGGAUGAAAGCGGGGGAUCGCAAGACCUCGCGCGAUUGGAGCGGCCGAUAUCAGAUUAGGUAGUUGGUGGGAUAAAGGCCCACCAAGCCAACGAUCUGUAGCUGGUCUGAGAGGACGACAAGCCACACUGGAACUGGGACACGGUCCAGACUCCUACGGGAGGCAGCAGUGGGGAAUUUUGGACAAUGGGCGAAAGCCUGAUCCAGCCAUUCCGCGUGCAGGAUGAAGGCCCUCGGGUUGUAAACUGCUUUUGUACAGAACGAAAAGGUUUCUACUAAUACUAGGAGCUCAUGACGGUACUGUAAGAAUAAGCACCGGUUAACUACGUGCCAGCCGCCGCCGUAA
rnacentral:rRNA from 1 species